CAGAAGAAAGAGGAACGGUCCAGUCCUCAACUCAUCAACAAGAUCGGGGAGGAGAGAGAGAGAGAGAGAGAGAGAGAGAGAGCAAAGAUGAACGGCGGCGGCAGGAAGUUCGGCGGCGGGCGGCUGCCGACGGGGACCCCGUCGCUGGCCUGGUCAUCGGUGGUCGUGGUCGCCUCCCUCCUCGCGGGGGCCUCCGUCGUCCACAACGUCUACAAGCCUGACAUGACCAUUCCGCCGGUGGAGAGUGACGACGGAGGAGGCGGCGGCAUUGACGGCAAGCAGAGCUGAGCUGGUGACGGAUUUUGUUCCUUCGCAAGAACCAUGUUCUGUGUUGCACUGCCAUCUGCGUGCCCCCAACCCUUUCUGUCAGCGUAUCUCGUUAUGCUUACCAGAGGAGCACAGCACUCUGCUGCUCGUUACCCACUGGAAUCAGACUAACAUUGUAUGAUUUACGCAUCUUAUUCAAAGGGAUUUACUUUUUGCAGGAGA